rnacentral:rRNA from 1 species
GAUGAACGCUAGCGGCAGGCGUAAUACAUGCAAGUCGUGGGGCAGCAUGAAUGUAGCAAUACAUUUGAUGGCGACCGGCAAACGGGUGCGGAACACGUACACAACCUUCCUACAAGUGGGGAAUAGCCCAGAGAAAUUUGGAUUAAUACCCCGUAACAUAUAGAGAUGGCAUCAUUUUUAUAUUAUAGCUACGGCGCUUGUUGAUGGGUGUGCGGCUGAUUAGGUAGUUGGCGGGGUAACGGCCCACCAAGCCUUCGAUCAGUAGCUGAUGUGAGAGCAUGAUCAGCCACACGGGCACUGAGACACGGGCCCGACUCCUACGGGAGGCAGCAGUAAGGAAUAUUGGACAAUGGGCGCAAGCCUGAUCCAGCCAUGCCGCGUGAAGGAUUAAGGUCCUCUGGAUUGUAAACUUCUUUUAUAAGGGACGAAAAAAGGGAAUUCUUUCUCACUUGACGGUACCUUAUGAAUAAGCACCGGCUAACUCCGUGCCAGCAGCCGCGGUAAUACGGAGGGUGCAAGCGUUAUCCGGAUUCACUGGGUUUAAAGGGUGCGUAGGCGGGUAUUUAAGUCAGUGGUGAAAUCCUAGAGCUUAACUCUAGAACUGCCAUUGAUACUAUUUAUCUUGAAUAUUGUGGAGGUAAGCGGAAUAUGUCAUGUAGCGGUGAAAUGCUUAGAUAUGACAUAGAACACCUAUUGCGAAGGCAGCUUACUACGCAUAUAU